CCCUACGGGGCGCAGCAGUGGGGGAUAUUGCACAAUGGGGGGAACCCUGAUGCAGCGACGCCGCGUGAGUGAAGAAGUAAUUCGUUAUGUAAAGCUCUAUCAGCAGGGAAGAAUAAAUGACGGUACCUGACUAAGACGCCCCGGCUAACUACGUGCCAGCAGCCGCGGUAAUACGUAGGGGGCAAGCGUUAUCCGGAUUUACUUGGUGUAAAGGGAGCGUAGACGGAGGAGCAAGUCUGAUGUGAAAAUCCGGGGCCCAACCCC
rnacentral:rRNA from 1 species